rnacentral:rRNA from 1 species
UUUACCGGGCCAGCAUCGGUUUGGAGCGGCAGGAUAAUGGCGGAGGAAUGUGGCACGGCUUCUGCUGUGUGUUAUAGCCUCUGACGAUGCUGCCAGCCUAGACCGAGGACUGCGGUUUUUUACCUAGGAUGUUGGCAUAAUGAUCUUAAGUCGCCCGUCUUGAAACACGGA